UCCCUGAUAGCUCAGUUGGUAAAGAAUCUGCUUGCAAUGCAGGAGACCCUGUUUCAAUUCCUGGGUUGGGAA
rnacentral:tRNA from 1 species